ensembl:snRNA U4 U4 spliceosomal RNA
AGCUUUGCGCAGUGGCAGUAUAGUAGCCAAUGAGGUUUAUCAGAGGCACGAUUAUUGCUAAUUCAAAACUCUUCCCAAUACCCCGCCAUGGCGACUUGAAAUAUCGUCAGCACUGGCAAUUUUUGACAGUCUCUAUGGAGA